rnacentral:rRNA from 1 species
GUAGGUGGCAUAGUAUGUCGAUAGUGAAAGCGUGUGGCUCAACCAUAUACACAUUAUCGAAACUGCUAAGCUAGAGGACGAGAGAGGUUAUUGGAAUUCCUAGUGUAGGAGUGAAAUCCGUAGAUAUUAGGAGGAACACCGAUGGCGUAGGCAGAUAACUGGCUCGUUCCUGACACUAAGGCACGAAAGCGUGGGGAGCGAACCGGAUUAGAUACCCGGGUAGUCCACGCCGUAAACGAUGGAUACUAGCUGUUGGAGGUAUCGACCCCUUCAGUAGCGAAGCUAACGCGUUAAGUAUCCCGCCUGUGGAGUACGGUCGCAAGACUAAAACAUAAAGGAAUUGACGGGGACCCGCACAAGCGGUGGAGCGUGUUGUUUAAUUCGAUGGUAAACGAAGAACCUUACCCAGGUUUGACAUCCUUGGAAUUUUGCCGAAAGGCGAGAGUGCUUUAUUGAGCCAAGUGACAGGUGUUGCAUGGCCGUCGUCAGCUCGUGUCGUGAGAUGUUUGGUUAAGUCCAUCAACGAGCGCAACCCUUAUAGUCUGUUGUAUUUUUCAGGCUAGACUGCCCCGGUAACGGGGAGGAAGGAGGGGAUGAUGUCAGGUCAGUAUUACCCUUACAUCUGGGGCUACAAACACGCUACAAUGGCCGGUACAAAGGGCAGCCAAGUCGCGAGACGGAGCAAAUCCCAUCAAAGCCGGUCCCAGUUCAGAUUGCAGGCUGAAACUCGCCUGCAUGAAGUCGGAAUCGCUAGUAACGGUAGGUCAGCUAUACUACCGUGAAUACGUUCCCGGGUCUUGUACACACCGCCCGUCAAACCAUGAAAGUCGGGGGUACCUGACGUGUGAGCUUCGUCUCGCCCUAAGGUAAACCAGAUGAUUGGGGUU